rnacentral:rRNA from 1 species
AUUGAACGCUGGCGGCAGGCCUAACACAUGCAAGUCGAGCGGCUCGGCAGACGCGUGCGUGUUGCCUAGGAAUCUGCUUCUAGUGGGGAGUGGCGUCCGGCAACGGGCGCUAAUACCGCAUACUAUCCGCUAAGCCUAGGUCGGAUUAGCUAGUUGGUGGGGUAAGGGCUUACCGAGGCGACGAUCCGUAACUGGUCUGAGAGGAUGAUCAGUCACACUGGGACUGAGACACGGCCCAGACUCCUACGGGAGGCAGCAGUGGGGAAUAUUGGACAAUGGGCGAAAGCCUGAUCCAGCCAUGCCGCGUGUGUGAAGAAGGCCUUCGGAUUGUAAAGCACUUUAAGUUGGGAGGCGUUACCAACAGAAGAAGCACCGGCUAACUCCGUGCCAGCAGCCGCGGUAAUAC